AUUGAACGCUGGCGGCAGGCUUAACACAUGCAAGUCGAGCGAGCGGCGGAUGGGUGAGUAAAGUCUGGGAAACUGCCUGAUGGAGGGGGAUAACUACUGGAAACGGUAGCUAAUACCGCAUAACAUCAGAUGUGCCCAGAUGGGAUUAGCUAGUAGGUGGGGUAAUGGCUCACCUAGGCGACGAUCCCUAGCUGGUCUGAGAGGAUGACCAGCCACACUGGAACUGGGGCCAUGGCCAGAGUCCUUCGGGAGGCUGCAGUAGGGAAUUUUGCGCAAUGGACGCCAGCCUGAUGCAGCCAUGCCGCGUGUGUGAAGAAGGCCUUCGGGUUGUAAAGCACUUUCAGCGAGGAGGCGGUACUCGCAGAGGAAGCACCGGCUAACUCCGUGCCAGCAGCCGCGGUAAUUC
rnacentral:rRNA from 1 species